GAACGCUGGCGGCGUGCUUAACACAUGCAAGUCGAGCGAGAAUAUUCAGCAGAUCCUCGGGGAGAAGCUGAAUAUGGACAGCGGCGGACGGGUGAGUAACGCGUGGGAAACCUGCCUUGUACAAGGGAUAGCCUCGGGAAACCGGGAUUAAUACCCUAUAACACUUUACUACCGCAUGGUAGAGAAGUCAAAACUCCGGUGGUACAAGAUGGUCCCGCGUUCCAUUAGCUAGUUGGUGAGGUAGAAGCUCACCAAGGCGACGAUGGGUAGCCGGCCUUAGAGGGUGAACGGCCACACCGGAACUGAGACACGGUCCAGACUCCUACGGGAGGCAGCAGUGGGGAAUAUUGCACAAUGGGGGGAAAAACCCCCUGAUGCAGCGACGCCGCGUGAGUGAUGAAGGUUUUCGGAUCGUAAAACUCUGUCCUUGGGGAAGAUAAUGACGGUACCCAAGGAGGAAGCCCCGGCUAACUACGUGCCAGCCGCUGC
rnacentral:rRNA from 1 species